UACGUAGGGGGCUAGCGUUGCUCGGAAUUACUGGGCGUAAAGGGCGCGUAGGCGGACAGGUUAGUCAGAUGUGAAAGCCCAGGGCUCAACCUUGGAAUUGCCUUUGAUACUGGCUGGCUUGAGUUCGGGAGAGGUGAGUGGAAUUCCGAGUGUAGAGGUGAAAUUCGUAGAUAUUCGGCGGAACACCAGUGGCGAAGGCGACUCACUGGCCCGAUACUGACGCUGAGGCGCGAAAGCGUGGGGAGCAAACAGG
rnacentral:rRNA from 1 species